rnacentral:lncRNA from 1 species
CACAGAGCCCGACGCAGGGCUCGAACUCACGGACCGCGAGAUCGUGACCCGAGCUGAAGUUGGACACUUAACUGACUGAGCCACCCAGGCGCCCCAAUGAUGAAUAUUUUUAAUGAAAAAAAGUGAGGGCACGACAAUGUGAAUAACAUCUUGCCAUUAGCAUAAACAAACAAACCCAAAUAUUCUUGUGUGUGUGUGUAUGUGUAUCUGUCAACAAGAGCUAUUUGUAAAUACAAAAUAUAAACAUACCUAUGUGAUUAAAUAUGAUAGAAUAUUUGUGAAAGGAUGCACAGUAGCUUGUAGAGUCAAGCCUCUUCAGGGGAGUACUGGUUGGCUGGAAGUUAUGGUAUCAGAAAAGUAAUUUUUAAAUAUACAUCUUUUUCCAAUCCUUUGAAUUUUGAACCACGUGCAUAUAUAUAACCGUUCAAACGUUCUAAAAACAUGUUUUUAAUAAGAAUUUGUGCAGUACCUUUGCAGGAUGCAUGCAUAGGAUUUAUUAAGGCCGAAAGGAAACACAGCAGCCUGGCUGAUGAAAUAAAUUGCACGAAGAGGCACCCACUGUUGUCAUCUGGGUGGAAACAAGACUGCAUCACUGAAGCCCUCGGGAAGCAGGAUAUGCCAGUCAUCACAGGAGCCACAGAGUCUGAAGAAUUCAGAACUUGCUGAGUGCUACUUUCUUUGGCUGUGAAAUUCAUCUUUUGGAUUUUAAUUUUCUAAUUUGAUGGUCUUAGAACUUAAAUCACAUGUCAGAAAUAACACAACAAAGAAUAGAAUCAUGCUGAAUAGCAGUUAAAGGGACAACCGGAUAAAUAAUACUUUCUAUGCAUUAGAACGUCAUCAUUUAUAAAAGGUUUCCACAUAUCUUAUCACACCUUGAACCUCUCAACAGCCCUGUGAUGGAGACAGUCCUGGCAUCGAGGCCCCUACUUUGUAGAUAAGGAAACUGGGUGUCAUAAAAUUGGUUGUCUUGUCAAUUAAAAAAUGAUCCAAAGACUUUGACAGCUCACCAAAGAAGGUAUUCUGAUGGCAAAUAGCAUAUGAGAAGAUGCUCCGUGUAAUCGGUCAUCGGGGAAAUGGAAUUGAAAACAACAAUGAGAUUCCACUACACCCUGUUAGAGUGACCAAAAUCCAGAACACUGACAUCAAAUGGCUGAUGAGGAUGUGGAGAAACAGGAACUCUCACUCAUUGUGGAUGAGAAUGCAAAAUUGCACAACCACUUUGGAAAAGUGAAUAUAGAAAACUAAACAUACUCUUAUCAUAUGAUCAAGCAAUUAUGUUCCUUGUUAUUUACUCAAAGGAUUUGAAAACUUGUGUGCACACAAAAACCUGCACACAAAUGUUUAUAGCAGUUUUAUUCAUAAUUGUCAAAACCUGGAAGUAACCAAGAUGUUCUUCUGUAGGUGAAUGGAUAAUCAGUGGUACAUCCAGACAAUGGAAUAUUAUCCAGCACUAGAAAGAAAUAAGCUAUUAAACCAUACAAAGACAGGAAGGGACCUUAAACACUACUAAGUGAAAGAAGACAAUCUGAAAAGGCUAUAUAUCAUAUGAUUCCAACUAUAAGACAUUCCAGAAAAGGCAAAACUAUGGAAACAGUAAUAAGAUCAGUGUUGUCAGGGGUUAGCAGGGAGGGAGGGAUCAACAGGUAAAACACAGAGGAUUUUCAGG